GGAGGGAUGGCCGAGCGGUUUAAGGCGCACGCUUGGAAAGCGUGUAGAGAGAAAACUCUCGCGGGUUCGAAUCCCGCUCCCUCCG
rnacentral:tRNA from 1 species